rnacentral:lncRNA from 1 species
AGAGCACUUUCCACUACAUCACAAGGGAAGAGCAAAAAGAAAAAAUAACAUCUAAUUUUACCAGAAAAUAAAAUACAGGCAGGCCUGAACCACAGCCAGAGUUAAAUGUGGAGCAUACCUACCUCCAAACCCAGCUGGAACCUCAAAGAAAAUUCCCACGUAUACCUCACCAAUGUAUGAAAUAUUAUGCAUCAAUAACAGAAAAAAAGCAUAUUCUGACAUUCUGACAACUUUAUCAAAGAAAAAUACUUAACGGAAUCAAUGUGCAUUUAAUAUAUUUCAGCAAAAAAAUAAAAACAAAGAUAAUUAAAUGCCAUCUUUUAAAGAAAAGAGAAAUCAAUUCUUUUCUCUUGUACUCCCUCAAAGCCCAUGCCAUUACCCACACAUGCGACAUACAUCGGGGGAAGGCGAAAACUUCAAAACUGGUUUGACAAAGCGUGAAGGGUAGCAGGAGCAUCAUCCAUGGAGGCAAAGCAAAAGCAGAGAAAAGAGAGAAAUUAUUCGCCCGAGAAAGGCAAAGCCUGAGUAGACUGCUUUUAAUUAAAA